rnacentral:misc_RNA from 1 species
GAAAGGGAAGAGAUAUAGGGUUGGAAAAGUCGUGAUGCGUUCCGGAUAGUAGUUUAUAGUGGUACUAAGUCAGAAUAGAGGCAAAAAAAUAGAUCUAAGUAAAAACAAAAUAUUAAAAUAUAGGCGGAAGUUUGAUGCAGUCUGGUGUAACGUAUUGCAAGUGCUUUAUACUCUCUAGUAGUAAUACUAAUAGCUAUACUACGCAGUUGUUUGAUUGGGCUACUAGUACCACCAAGCGACGAAAGUUAUCAAAUUGGUGUUUGCUGUUUACCAAUAAUAGUAAAAUUACUACUGUUGCUAAGCCUAUCAUUCGUAAUCGGAUAAAAACACCGGGUAGUUUAUGUUAUUACUUGUCAUUUAGAAGAUGUAUUUUUGCUCUCACUUUUAAACCUUCAAUUUCAAAUAUUUUGACGCAAUUCAGUGUAGAAAGCAGUUCAUAUAAAAUGUAUUCUAAGAUCCAGAGAGAAGAUAGAAGUGAGGAUAGUUUAAAUUUCAGUGUUUUCUCUAAAUCGUUUUCCUUUGAUAAGUUUGAUAAACGACGAAGUGGUUAUAUGUUUGAGAUUUUAUCUUCUCUCAUUUUGAACAACAUAGAAUAUUUUCGAAAUCUUGAUUCCCAGGAAGCAGUAAAAUUAGUAGCAGCCUUUGGUUUAAUGACUGAACAUCUUGAAUAUAUUGAAUCUAAGAUUGACGAUUUGGGAAGGGUUGUUCAUUUGUAUGAUCUGGAUGAGCAUACACCCGGUAAUGGCUAUAGAAGCUUUUUGAGCAUAUUGCACAGUUUUAUACUUAUUUCUGUACAACUGUGUAAUACCGUUUGUAUGAAAAGAGAUUCUUUCAUGUUUCAGUCUUGCCAGUACCGUAAACAAGUUGAAGCUCAUGUAAGUGUACUUGGUGCACUCCGCAUUGGUUUAAUAUACCUGCUAAAAAUGCUUUAUCAAAAUACUAAAGGUGAAUUGUUUGUUGCAAAUGAGCACAUGACAGCACAGGAACUUCUUAAAGAAUAUGGAUCUUUAGACCAAACAGGAUUUUAUGGUCGAUGUCAUGGCUUUUAUUACUGUGAAUCAAUGCGGAGAACUCUGCUUGGAGUUAGUGUCAUCAUGGCAUCCUUCAGUGAUGUGUACCAGAGGGGUGGAGGAGCUUUGUCGCAUGCAGCAGCAUCAAUAGUUUAUGGCACAAAGUAUGCUUUUAACCCUGAGGCUCGAGCCCAGCAGAUUGUCCAAGUAGCACAGAAUGCUUCUGUGGGAUUUGUUAAAGCAUUUUGGAGCUUGAGUGAAACUCAUUUGAUGAAGAGGGUUCCAACUUGGUUGUGUCCUACUCCAGCUGUGAAGGAGGAGAUUUUUAUUCCUGCUGAACCUCUUGUCCUAAAUAAACUAAAUGGUCAUGAUAAAGUAGAAAUCUCAGCACCUCAUUCUCACAUUCCACCCGCACCUGUUAGGUGUGUACUGAUAUCUCAUCGAUUAAGGGAAGGACAGGAACUGAAUGAAAAAUCUAAACGUAAGACUUCAGAUGUUCUCCCCCCAUCACGGGAGCUUCUGAUUCAUUGCCAUGGAGGAGGAUUUAUUGCUCAGUCUCCAGAAGCUCACGAGAUUUACUUACGGGACUGGGCUAAAGAUCUUGAUAUUCCAAUACUUUCUAUUGACUACUCACUUGCACCAGCUGCUCCAUUUCCACGGGCUAUAGAAGAGGUAUUACUUGUUUAUGCUUGGGUUUUAAAGAACUCUAAGAGUCUGGGCUCAACGGGUGAACGUAUUUGCCUUGCUGGUGACAGUGCAGGAGGAAAUCUAAUGAUGGGUCUGACAUUAAAAGCUAUAGACUAUGGUAUUCGCAUACCAGAUGCUGUAUUUUGUGCUUACACCCCCAUGAUGCUGGACAUGAUUCCUUCUCCUUCCCGGCUUUUGUGUUGUAUGGAUCCGCUGCUUCCUCUCGGUUUCAUGCUCAGUUGCUUGGAUGCAUAUGCAGGUAUUGAUCGAAUAGAUGAUGAUGAGUAUAGUGAUGAAGAAAAAGAGAAUGAGGGAAAGAAAUUAGGAAUUUCUGGAUUCUUUGACUCUGGAAUAAGCUUGAUUAAAGACCUAGAACAGAUGGAGAUAGAAGGAACAGCACCAGCAUUAGACAGUGGUAGCCACUCUGUUCUGCAUGAUAGAAAACUGGUUAAUGAUGAUGAUGAUGGCAAUAGUUCUGUCGCUCCUGAAGAUGAUGAAAAAGAUUCUAUGUUAUGUUCUAGUGGACACACCCCUAUGUCGGACAGAUACGUGUCAGAAUUUCUACUCAAAUAUAACCAAGCUGACACUGACAAGCAGCAGCUUCAUGACACGGUAGAUCCAGAUGAAAACAACGUCUUUCAUCUACCAACUGAUCUAUCCUUCAGUUUGCAAAGGAAAUGUUGUAAAAUGACACGAAAUUGCUGGAAUAAAGUUUCUAAUUCAUUCACGGAAACAAAGUUUUAUAAGAAUCAUUUAGCAGGCAGUCGUAUCUUCUCACAGGGAACAGACACAAGGACAGGUUUGUUUCAGGUACCGUGGUAUCUCCAACAGAAGCCUGGAUUGGCAAAGAAAUUCCAGAGGGUUAAAAUCAUAACAAGCAACCCAUUUAUGUCUCCUUUUCUUGCUUCUGAUGAAAUGUUGCUACAAUUUCCACCUUUAUAUAUUGUUUCUCCAUCUUUUGAUCCCACGCUGGACGAUUCGGUUAUGUUUGCUCGAAGAAUGAAGAAGCUCCAGAGGGAAGUUCAUCUAGACUGUGUUGAUAAACUGCCUCAUGGAUUCCUCAACUUCUUGCCGUUCAGUAAAGAGGCACACGAAGGAUCCCAGUUGUGUGUGACUCGACUGAAAGAAGCUUUGAAACUUAAAUAAAAGACUUGUAACAAUACCCGUAUUACGUCUUGAUGACAAGUGGAGUUUCAAGCCACGUCAGCUUCCAUUGAAGGAAAUAACAUAAAUAGAACACCGUAUAACGUGAGAAGAAACGCUUAUAUUGCAAGCUACAGCACAGAGCUUGAAACAAGCCUGAAAUGUUAGGGCCAGCUGAAAAGAUGGACAGCUUUAAUUUGGCAGUCAAAGAACAAAAGAUACAACCAAGAAAACAUACGGCAAGUGACAACCAUUCAGAUAACUACGUAUUUCAGAUACAACCAAGAAAACACACGGCAAGUGACAACCGUUCAGUUCUUAGUUCAGAUACAACCAAGAAAACAUACGGCAAGUGACAACCGUUCAGUUCUUAGUUCAGAUACAACCAAGAAAACAUACUUCAAGUGACAACCGUUCAGUUCUUAGUUCAGAUACAACCAAGAAA